rnacentral:sRNA from 1 species
UGAUGCGAAUCUCAGGCAUGGAGCUGUC